AUUGAACGCUGGCGGCAUGCCUAACACAUGCAAGUCGAACGGGGCAGCAAUGCCUAGUGGCGGACGGGUGAGUAACGCGUGGGGAUCUGCCCAAUGGUACGGAAUAACCCAGGGAAACUUGGACCAAUACCGUAUGUGCCCUUCGGGGGAAAGAUUUAUCGCCAUUGGAUGAACCCGCGUCGGAUUAGCUAGUUGGUGAGGUAAAGGCUCACCAAGGCGACGAUCCGUAGCUGGUCUGAGAGGAUGAUCAGCCACACUGGGACUGAGACACGGCCCAGACUCCUACGGGAGGCAGCAGUGGGGAAUAUUGGACAAUGGGCGCAAGCCUGAUCCAGCCAUGCCGCGUGUGUGAUGAAGGCCUUAGGGUUGUAAAGCACUUUCGCCGGUGAAGAUAAUGACGGUAACCGGAGAAGAAGCCCCGGCUAACUUCGUGCCAGCAGCCGCCGUAACAC
rnacentral:rRNA from 1 species